GUUGGCCCGGCUGGGUGUGGUUGGAGUGCCACACGCCUUCCGGAGGUUCCUUCUCCGCUCGCAGACCCGGGUGCCCCUUCCAGGGUCUCCGUGUGCCCGGCCGUAGAGCUGCGUUCAUGUUUCCCGAAGAGCCCGUAGGGCCCCUGUGGGCGAAGGGUCUGCUGUGGAGCCUUGGAGGAGUGGCAGCUCAUCUGCGGAAAGAGAAAAGCUGCACCAGGGCAGCCUUCUUUCCUUCGCGGAGUAUUUACAGAAGCCCACUUCUGGGCCUACGGAGACCCACGGUGGCUUCUACCCUCAGAUUGCUGGCGUUUCAGACCUGGUCGCGACGUCUAUGGAAAACCACCCUGAUCAGAGCAGGCAGCUUUAAAAGCAGAACCCCUCAGUUCAGUUCCUGCUCCGCUGCUUCCUAGCAGUGUAAACCUGGGCAAGUCUUGAAGGCCCUUGAGCCUCAGUUUCUUCCUCUGUGAAAUGGGCAUAAGAACAGGAGUGAAGUGAGGAUUCAGGGAGAAAAAGUAUGGAGAGUGUUUAGCACGGCGACCCGCGCCGAGUGAAUGCUUGAAGGAUGAUGGCCCUUAUCAGAGGCAGGGUAUAGCAGACGCUGUGACUGGUGCAAAGCAGCCUGAGAGAGGCCGCAGUUGAGCUGUGGUGUCUGAAAGGCUUUCUGAAAGAGUGAGCAUCCCGCCGGGUUUUAAAAGAAAGUGUCUGGAAGAAGAAUGGUAAUUCUCUCAAUAUGGACCACCAGGGGCUGUGAGAAGAAGCUGGGAAGAAAGGCAGAGGCAGCCCUGCCACUGUCUCCGUCCACUCCCCAGGGGCUGCCUUGCUAUUUUCUGCUUUUCUGGAGUUGAUUUUUGUCAUUGGCUAAAUAGACGUUAAUCAGACCACUACCUUCCACGUACCACCCUGGAGCCUCCCCAUGGCAGGGGCUUCCUGACCGGGCUUUCUCCAACCAUCAUGUCCAGCCUGUAUGAGUGUGACAGAAGACAGAAGGGGUGAGCCCUUGGAGGCAGGUGGCACCCACUUGAUGUGUGUGAGGCAUUCAUCUGUGCAGCAGCUCCCCCUCCCCUUCCUGGGGACAACCACAGCAUCACCCUCCAGCCACAGGCACCUGGACCAGGUCUAGCCAAUCCAAGGUCCUGGGCAUCCAGCCAAAGGGCUUGGUACAGUUGGACAUGUGACCCAAGUUGGGCCAAUCAGGGUGCUUCCCUGAGUCUUUAUACAUGGAUGCUGAAAGAGAUGUUGUCUUUCCUCUGGGGUCACUAAACUGGGAUGAGAAAGCUGUGACCCUCCCCCUCUCCCUCACCUACACCAAACGCUGUGAGGAGUCCAGCCAAAAGAUGGAAAAGACACAGAGAAACAGAGACAAAGAGAGACAGAGAUGGAAAGAGAAAUGUAGGUUGCUACCCCCUCAAACUCCGGAGUCCCUGAUGCCAGCUUCACCCUGGUCCUCCGAGUUCCAUGAGGCAAAAACUAUUUCCGCUGAUGUUAGUUUCAGUUGGGUUUCUGUCCCUCACAAACAAAAGACCUUCCAGAUGCAAUGAGAUUUGAAGGCCUUUGGAAGGACACCACUAGUCAAAAAUAUGUCCUUUUCUAUGUCAUAAGUUCAUCCAUUUGAGUAGUUCUCUUGCUUCAGCUUUCUGUGUGGCAGCCCCUUGCUUUCAGGGGUCACACAUUUACUGGAGGGUGGACUCCAAGCUCCUGGCAGUAGCCCCUGAGACUCUCAGCAGCCCUGGCCUCUCCAGUCCUGUCAUUGUCCUCUUGCUGUCUAGCACUGUGUCCGAAUGGACACAUAUGUAUAUAAAUAUAUGCAUAUAUUUUUAACUUAGUUGAAUGGAUUAUGUCGUAAAUGGCGAUCUGCUUCUUACUUUUUUCCCCACUCAACUUUAUGUCUUGAAGCUUCAUGUUCCUUGCCCUGUAUAUGUGCAGCCAAUAGCUUCUAACUGCUGACGAUGAUUCAAUGAUGUGGAUCUGCCCUGAUCUGCUCUCCACUCUCCCAGGGAGCAACACCCAUAGUGCCACCAGAAACAACACUGUGAUAAACUUCACUACUUGUUCCCGUACGCGUCCAGCUGAGAAUUUCUUUGGGAUACGUAACUAGGACUAAAACUGGUGGAUCAUAGACUAUGCAUGGACUUACUCUGUUGUUUUUAGAGAAAAAAAAAUUAGCUUUACAGGGGUAUAAUUGAUACACAAAAGAUUAAUGUUAUAUCUUGAUGACUUUGGACAUGGCAUGCACCUGUGGUACCAUCACCACAGCCCAGGUACUAAACAUAUCCAUCACCUCCAAAAUUUUUACACAGACUUACUUUUAAGAAACACCACCCACCUGUUCUCCAGGACAGCUGCCCCAGGCUACAGUCUCACUAGAAGUCUACAAAAAUGCCCACAUCCCUGCCAACACUCUUAAUUGUAAAGUAUAAUAGGGCUAUAGUGACCCAUUCUUGUUGUAACUUACCUCUCUCUUAAUGAGAUGGAGCAUUUUUUAAUAUUCUUGUCAGUCUCGUGGGUUUCAUCCUCCAUAAAUGGUCAGUUCUUAUCUUUUGACCAUUUUUCUCUCAGGAGUUACUAUCUUUUCCUUGUUGCUUUGCAGGAUGGCAACACACGGAAAUGUGUCCUUCGCUGACUAUAGAUAUUUCAAGUGUCUUCCCCCACCUGUUAUCUUCCUAUUAACUAUAUUGUACUUUGCUGGAAAAGAGACAUUAAUUUUGAUGUAAUCAACUCCUCCUUUUUUGACUUAUAAUUUGGGUUUCUGUGGUUUUGUUCAAGAAUGCCUUUUCCAGCCCUUACUCAUAAAGGACAGUUGGCAUGGCGGCCACAGGCAUGCAGUGCGCGAACCAGCAUCUGGGGAGGACAGAGGGAGUAAGGCUGAGUUGGGAUCCUGGUUCUACAACUUGGCAGUGUGCCCUGGGUGAGUAACCAAACUUCAGUUUCUAUACCUGGACGUGGGGAUGCCACCAAUAACCUUAAAUACCCAACUCAGAGGGUCACUAGGACGGUCCAGUGAGAGACUCAUGUAAAUGCCUAUCAGAGCGCCUGCCAAAGUGUGGGCACCUAUGAGUAUCGUCAUUACUGUUCCCUGAUGCGUGAGUGUUCUCAGGCUGCUGUGACAAAGUACACAGACUGCGUGGCUUUAAACCACAGAAGUGCGUUCUCUCUAAGUUCUGGACGCCAAAAGUCUGCAAUCAAAGGGUCAGCCGGGCUGGUCCCUUCUGGGGUCUGUGAUGGGGAAUGUCCCGUGCCCUCUCCUACCUUCUGGGGGUUGCCAGCCGUCUUUGAUGUUCUUGGCUUGCAACUGUGUCCCUCUACUCUCUGCUUCCCUCUGUGCGUGGCCGUCUCUCUCCCUGUGUGUUUUCACAUGGCCUAAAUUUGGUCACUGGGUUAAAGAGGUGACAGCAGAGAGGCGACACGCUUCUCUGUGUGUGUCACUGCGUGUCCUCUCUUUUUAUACGAACGCCAGUCAUGGGGAAUUCCCUGGUGGCUCAGUGGUUAGGACUUAGCGGUUUCACUGUCGCGGCCCCAGGGUCAGUCCCUGGUCAGGGAACUAAGAUCCCACAAGCCACGUGACACAGCAAAGAAAGAAACAAAGAAAGAAAGAACACCAGUCAUUGGGUUUAGGGCCCACACCAAUUCA